GCCUCUCCAGUUGUAGUGAGUGUGUGUGUGUGUGUUUGGGGGUGGGGUGGGGAGACGAGAACACUUCAGACAGGAGCACCAGGCACCUGAUGUUGUUCAACCACAGAAACCAUUUUAUCAAGGAAAUGGUUACUAGAUAUCCCUCACAGAUGCAUCCUUCGGUCCCAGGGGUCUUCAGCAGCUGCAACACUUUCAGGUCCUCACAGAUUGUGAAACAUGCUGGACAGAUGAGAUUAAUCCCUUAGAGAUACAGCUGGAUCCACUUCUGAUGAUGAGCUUGGAAAUGAUGCAGUCCAGAUAUAGCGGGAACCUUAAAAUCUCAAAGGAGAGAGGCCAACUACUGACCACAUGAAUCAUAAUGUAAAUAUUUUUUGGAGACAGAAGUUUGUCAAAAGGCUCAUGACCCACAGAUUGAGAACCUCUGAUCUACAUAAACAUCUCUAGACACUUUCCAAGAAAAUUCGAAGACACUGUAGAAAUACAAAAUGGUUGAGCAAGCUGGACCAUGUAAACAAGGUUCAACAGAGUUGGGAUAUGGACUUUCAUGACUGAAGAUGAAUAAUAAAGAGAACA